rnacentral:misc_RNA from 1 species
CAGAAGGUCUAGUACCUGAAAACCACUGUGAACCGUUCCAUUUGCUGCCUCGGCGGGCGAUCCCAGGGCGGGAUCGCGGCCCCUUCGGGGGCGCCCGCCGGCGCGCGACCCUUCUAGCUCUGUUGUCCAGCGGGCUUCUGAGUGACUAAAAAAAACAAAUUA